rnacentral:rRNA from 1 species
AUUGAACGCUGGCGGCAGGCCUAACACAUGCAAGUCGAGCGGAGCGGCGGACGGGUGAGUAAUGCCUAGGAAUCUGCCUGGUCGUGGGGGAUAACGUCAGGAAACGGGCGCUAAUACCGCAUACUAUCAGAUGAGCCGUGGUCGGAUUAGCUAGGUGGUGGGGUAACGGCCUACCAAGGCGACUAUCCGUAACUGGUCUGAGAUGAUGAUCAGUCACACGGGAACUUAUACACGGUCCAGACUCCUACGGUAGGCAUCAGUGUUGAAUAUUGGACAAUGGGCGAAAGCCUGAUCCAGCCAUGCAGCGUUUGUGAAGAAGGUCUUCGGAUUGUAAAGCACUUUAAGUUGGGAGGCGUUACCAACAGAAUAAGCACCGGCUAACUACGUGCCAGCAGCCGCGGUAAUUC